AUGCACGCUGGCGGCGUGCCUAACACAUGCACGUCGAACGGAGUCCAGCCUUUAAGACCUUCGGGUCAAAGAGGGGAAGACUGAGUGGCGGACGGGUGAGUAACACGUGGGCAACCUGGCUCAUAGAGGGGGAUAACAGAGAGAAAUUUCUGCUAAUACCGCAUAAGCACACACUGCCGCAUGGCAGAGGGUGAAAAGAGAAUCGCUAUGAGAUGGACCCGCGUCUGAUUAGCCAGUUGGCAGGGUAAGAGCCUACCAAAGCGACGAUCAGUAGCCGAUCUGAGAGGAUGAACGGCCACAUUGGGACUGAGACACGGCCCAAACUCCUACGGGAGGCAGCAGUGGGGGAUAUUGCACAAUGGGGGGAACCCUGAUGCAGCGACGCCGCGUGAGUGAAGAAGUAUUUCGGUAUGUAAAGCUCUAUCAGCAGGGAAGAUAAUGACAGUACCUGAAGAAGAAGCCCCGGCUAACUACGUG
rnacentral:rRNA from 1 species